AGGAAGUGAACCACUCCCUCCAUCUCAUUCAUUCUAGUUAAUUGUUCGUCUUAUUUAUUUUUUAUAAUUAGUAUUUUUAUUGUUAUAAGAUGUUAAAACAUAAAUAGUAUUUUAUGCGUGACUUAUAUUCUCAUUUUUUUUCAAAUUUUUUUAAAUAAAACGGACUGUUAAAAUUGGGCACGAAAAAUUAUGGUUGCACUUAUA
rnacentral:pre_miRNA from 1 species